rnacentral:tRNA from 1 species
ACUUAUAUAGCUUACGGAAAGCGCUACAUUGAAGCUGUAGAGAAGGUGUAUUUUAACCUAUAAGUG